rnacentral:rRNA from 1 species
GAUGAACGCUGGCGGCGUGCUUAACACAUGCAAGUCGAACGAGAAGUGAAGACGGAAACCUUCGGGCGGAAGGCUUUAUUUCGAGUGGCGGACGGGUGAGUAACGCGUGGGUAACCUGCCUCAUACAGGGGGAUAACAGUUGGAAACGACUGUUAAUACCGCAUAAGACCACAGCACCGCAUGGUGCGGGGGUAAAAACUCCGGUGGUAUGAGAUGGACCCGCGUUCGAUUAGCCAGUUGGCGGGGUAACGGCCCACCAAAGCGACGAUCGAUAGCCGAUCUGAGAGGAGGACCGGCCACAUUGGGACUGAGACACGGCCCAAACUCCGACGGGAGGCAGCAGUGGGGAAUAUUGCACAAUGGGGGAAACCCUGAUGCAGCGACGCCGCGUGAGUGAAGAAGUAUUUCGGUAUGUAAAGCUCUAUCAGCAGGGAAGAAAAGGACGGUACCUGAGUAAGAAGCCCCGGCUAACUACGU